rnacentral:lncRNA from 1 species
AGGCAACAUCCCAUCAGGCAACUCCCAAUCAAAGCAAUGGGCUAAUUGAGCUAAAAUAAGACGCAUGCUGAUUAGAGCUAACUGCAUUCCGGGACAUCCUCUACGACCGGUUCCGAACGGAAUGAGUUCGAAAUCAUGCCCUCGAAGGUCUAUCUUCCUAUCCUUGAAUCUUUCUGGAAAGAACUCUUCGGCAUUGCUCGACCAUAUCUUGGGAUUUCGCCCCAUAGACCAAGUGUUCACCAAAAGCCGCGACUUCUUAGGUAUGAAAUACCCAUUAACGGUGACAUCUUCGGUCGACUCGUGCGGGACUAAUAACGGCGCCACGGGAUGCAACCUGAAACUCUCUUUUAUGACCAUAUCCAAAUAGGCAAGUUUCGGUAGGUCCGACUCUUCUACCAUUCUAUUCCUUCCGACAACACUUUCUAGCUCUUUCUGGAGAGCAACCAUGACUCGAGGAUGCCUUAGAAGUUCUGAAAAUGUCCACUCAAUGGCCGUGGUUGUAGUGUCGAAGGAAGCUGCCACCAUGUCCACCAUUAUAGCCUUGAUGUUUUCUCUACCAACGAUGUAGGGUUGAUCUUCAUCGUUAGGGUUUAUGGGUGUAUCCAACAACGAAACCAUCACUUGAAAGAAAUUUCUAUAAGGUUUUUGGUCAUCCAUGUUAAUCCCUUGUUGGUAUUCAUCUAUCAUUUUGUCAAAAAAUUCGUGAAGGCCACUGCUCACCUUCUUAAGCCUUCUUGUAUAUCCCUGCAGCGUAAAGAUAGAUAUGAUAGAAUCAGUUUUAUAUUAAUUGUAUUGUUCAUUACAAUUAUUCUUUGCGAAAAAACCAACUAGUCAUUCAAUCAAAUAUUAGGACUUCCGUGUUCCAGUCUGCAUCUAAUAAGAUUACUGUACACAAUUUAUUAUACUUUAAAAUUUGUAUUAUUAUUAGUACGAAAAAAUAAAUAAAUUAUGAAAAAGAAAAAUAGUACAUAAAAAACAGGAUAUAAGGAGGAAAAAAAAACGUUACCUGAAGAUCAAGUGGAGCAAGGAAAGGCACAUAAUCCGAGAGAUUGAAAACCCCAGCUAAGUGCAUGGCCUGGCUUAAAAUCGAUUUUAUCAUCCAUGGACCGCCCGAAUAACACUUUCGACAUCAUUCCUUCAAGAACCUUAGCCACCGCCUGGCUAAGUUUUAUUGUUUCACCCGCCGCCGCUACCUUCCUCACUGAUUCAACCAAUAACCCCACCUCCGCCUUCCUUAUCGGGGCAAAACAUUCAACUUUGGAAGCACUGAGGAAAUGCAAAAUACUCCAUUUCCGUACAGUUCGCCAGUAAGAACCGUACUGGGUAAAAGCCAUGGCCUUGCCACCAUAUGCGAAGUAUUUCGCGGAUUGGACUUUAGGCCUGGAAGCAAAAACGACGUCAUGGACCUUGAGGAACAGUUCAGCGGCUUCGGGUGAUGAUACCACGAUGGUUGGUACUUUGCCUAGCAUUAUCGACAUGAUGGGUCCAUAUUUUUUGGCGAGAUAGUGAAGACUUUGGUGUGGGAGGUUCCCUAGCAUGUGGAUGUUACCUACGACGGGAAGAGGGGCAGGACCGGGUGGAAGUUUCCGGCCAUUGUUGUUGCGGUUUGGUGAGCUGAAGAAGUAGAUAAAGGAACAGAGAGUUCCAAGGAGGACGAAGAGUACGGUUAAUGUCGAAGAAGACAUUUGGGAGGGAAGCCAAUCACAAUAGCUGAUAGCCACUGGGGAUUGAUUGAUUGAGUACUUACAGAUGGAAGCAACCGAUGAUAGCCGCAAGGCGGGAGAAUUAGCCAAAUAUGUCGAUUUUAACAAAAACUAGGGAGUAGGAUUUUUUUUUUUAAAUGUAAGGAAAUAAAUUGAUUUUGGCUCAUACAUAGGUAAAAGCUUUGCGGGCUUAUUUUGCCAGUUGAAUUACUUACCAUGGUAAGAAAAUAUUAUUAUAAUUUUUAUUUUAAUUAAUAUUAUUUUUAAGUUGUUAAUGUUAUUAAAUUUUUUAUUUUUUUAUGUUUAUAUAAUCAAGAUGAAGAUUAAAUUAUUGAAAUUUAUAUACACGCAAUUUAAAUAUAAAAUCAUCACGUGUUAUUGAACAAUACAUGAAAGAGAUAUGAUUCUUACACAUGUCUCAUAUGCUCAACGAGACUAAAUUGGAGUCUGCACUUAUCAGUGCUUUGCUAGAGAGAUGGAAAGUUAAAAUAUAUACAUUCCAUAUUUUGUGCGGUGAGUAUAUAAUUACAUUUGAGGAUGUAUCAUUACAACUCAAUUUGUCAAUUGAUGAGACAGUCGUUACGGGAGAUGUACAUGUUGGGAGUUGGAGGUCAAUUUGCCACCAGCUAUUAAGCAAAGUGCCAAACAAAUUGGGAGGUGAAGGUCAAUUUGCCACCUGCUAUUAGGCAAGGUGUCAGACAAUUUAAUGGUAAGCUAUUAUAAGAUUAUAUAUUUAUUUAUACAUUAAUAAUUUUUCUUAUGUAAAAUUUGUACAUUCAUAUAUUUUUAUCCUAUUUAUUUUAUUUCCAUGAUACGAUAUUUUUAACACUUUUGUAUCAUGUUUUAAUUCGAUAAUGUUCAUAGUUUUAUAAAAAAAUUCAAUUUUAUUCUAAAUUCAUCUAUUUAACAAUUAAGAUAUUGCAGAUGCCAUAUAUUUAUAAAAAUAUCCUGUUAAAAAACUUAAUCUUAUUUCAUGAAGCAUAGGGAGUAGGUACUUUCUAGUUCGUAUAAAUUGUUGACCAUAUUAUUUAACACUAAAUUUAUUUUUAAAUAUUUUUAAAAUGGUGAAUAUAACUAGUAGGUCUCUCACAUAUAGGGACUGAACUACUAGAAGUUAAUCUUUGUACUAAUAAAAAAUUAUAUUAUAUUAAAUUAUAAUAAAAUUAAUAUUUAUUUUUAUAUGAAAAUUUUAAUUUUUCGUUUGCAACAUAUUUCAUUUACAAAAUAAAAAAAUAAAAAAUAUUAUUUUAUUAAACAAUAAGACUAACAUUGAUAGCUAGAUUUCUAAAGCUGGAAUUUUUGACAUUGAAUGAAACUUGAACAAAGAAAAUGCAUCUCACGGAAAAGGAAAGAAAAAACAAAGGAUACACGGAUAACGAAAGAAAUUGACAGAGAGUGGCCCUACAUCAUGAUAAUGAUGAUGGGCACCCAAACCGCAAACUUUACUACAAAAUGCCAGAAACACAUAGAGCACAGUCAAAACUCUUGAACGAAAGAGACGAUGGAAUCAGAGGCGGAUUUAGGGGUAGCAGUCACAGCUGCUAAAAUGUAAAAUUAUUAUUUAAGUUUUUAAAUUUUUUAAAAAAAUUUAAAUUAGUAAAAGUAAAAUUAUAUUUCGGCCUCCUUUAUAUUAUAAAAAUUUAAUUUAAUUUUUUAAAAAUUAUAAAGAUAUAGACUAUAAAAAAUUAAAUAUUCAUUCAGCCCCUUAAAAAUUUGUUCUUGUUUCGCCCCUGAAUGGAAUUGGCGAAGGAAAUUAUAACACCCUAAACCCGGCCUAGACGUUAUGGCCGAAUCUAGUGAUGUCACAAGAAUUGAAUUUCGAAAACCAUGUUGACUUGGUAAACCGUUACUAUUUAAAAUUUACUAAAACUGCCAUUUAGUCGGUUUCUCUACCAAAACUUAUUAUAGCGGAAGCUUUAAUCAUUUAAGUUCGAAAACGCAGGCAUGUUUUUAGGAAAAUCACUAGUUGCAUAAAAACCGUUGUUUUAGUAGAACAUUUUUACCAAUGUAGUUAAAUCGUCAAAUGAUCCCGGAAAUAACCAGUUAAACCAAACAGUCCAGAAAGUCCCAAAAAUUACAAAUUCUCAAAACAAAUCUGAAACUUAAUAUAAAACCAUAAAUAAAUUAAUAACUAAAAAAUCGUUUACUGUCAUGUGGUCACCGUUGAGUCUCUUGCCAUACGUCUGUGGAUUACCUGACAGAAAAACAAACAGAUGUGUGUUUACAUAAACUCAGUGUGUAACUCAGCAGAAUUAAGCAUGCAUUCAAACAUCAUCAUAUACACAAUCAGAAACAAAUAGAGAUUCAAAAUCGAGCUCAGACCCUUUACAGAUACAAAUACAGAUACAGUAAACAGAAUCAGAAUCCUACCCCCGUCCUCUACACACCAUAUUCGACCAUCCUAAAACACCAUGUGGGGUUAAAAAAACACUCACCCAUCCCUACACACCAAAUUGUGCCAUUACGACACGUAUCAGAUAUAGUGCAGCCAAACUGCUAGAUAAUAGGUGACUAACGCUGAACAGAUACUUCCUUCGCAUAUACAAACCCACUCUAAAUAGAUACAGAGCACACACACACACACAUAUAUAUAUACAGAAUUAACAGACACAGCAUGCUUAACAGGCUUAUACAAACAGAUAGCAGACAUGAUUAUCACAGUCAUACUCAGAACAAUAUCUCAGUCUAUCAAAUCACAUAGUUUUAGGGUUCAGUUUGUAAUAGCUUGAAUUUCAAUGAUGUCGAAAAUAGUGGUUCGAGACCAUCAAAUCCAACAAAUGAACUCGUAGAUUAUAUUAUUUAAUAUUUACGAGCCAAAUGUAGUUUUUAAAAGAUUUUUGGAAUAGUAAAUUGUGUUUUAUAAAGAUUUAUUUGGUCAAGAAAUUCAGAAAAAGAGGUAUCGAGAUCUCAAUGUUAUAAACCAAGCCAUAAAUAUUUUUAUAAAUAUUUACGAAAUGUCAAUAAGGUAGCAUUAAAAUUUCGUUAGAAAAUUUUGACGUUUGGGUGGUCAAUUAAAUAAAAAGGAUUAAAUUGGAAAAUGUGUAAAAGUUGCUAAAAGGAUUAAAUAGCUCAAUUGUCAAAUGAGGAAGGACCUAAAGUGAAAAUAAGCCCAAAGGAGAUAUUUUGGGCGGCAAUAGCUGAGAAAAAUCAGGAAACGGGUGAAAUAAGGGCAAAAUUGGAAAAUUGCCAAAAUUAGCUAAAUAAAAAAGGGACUAAAUUGGAAUAUCUAGAAUUCUCUUCAUUUCUCUUCAUAUUCAUCAGCUGAAAAACAGCCUUGGAAGGGGGUUCAAGCUGGUUUUCAUGCUCUAGCUUCAUGUAAGUUUAAUUCUUGCUUUCUCCUUGAAAUUUCUAUGUUUUUGGAAGUUUACAAUUGAGUCCAACUUAAUAUUUCAUUAGUUUUUGAUUCCAUGGCUAAUUUUUAAAGUUUUUAUGGAUGAGUGCUGAAAUAAUAUGAUGAAUAAUCAUAGAAUUGAAGCUUUAAUUUUGGUAUAUAAUGAUUUUAUCAAGUAAAAUUGAUGGAAAUUCAUUUUAGGGCCUAAUUAAGAAAGAGUUUGGAAUUAAUGUCUAAUGUUAAAUUUAUGAUUUUUAGGGGUUAUGAAGAAGUUUAAAAUGAUAGACUAAAGUAUUAAUUGAGAAAAAUUAUCUCAAUUGAGGGGUUAAUUGAGCAAGGAGUGAAUUGUAUAAACUGUGAAAUUUGGGGCAAAAUGGAAAUCAACAUUUUUCACUAAAACUGUUUUGGACAGCAGCAGUAGUGUAACUUUGAAAAAUCACCAAAAAUUGUAUAAAUCGAAUUAGAGGAUGAAUAAAAUAUGAAAAUUAAAGCUUAUUGAGUCUAGUUUCUUAUAAAAGAAACGAUGUAAGCAAUGGAAUUGUGAAUCAUGAGAUAUAAUAAAUUUUAUGAGACAAGGAAAGAAUGAUUUCGGGUUCCCCUGUUUUGACUUUGGAAAAUCAUAAAAAUUGGAGAAAAAUAAUUAGGGGCUUAAAUUUAUAUGUUUAGAAUCCUUAAUGAUCCUAUUUUCCAUAGAAACAAACGACAACAUCAUUUGAAUCUUGUACAAGGGUAUAAUUAAUUUUUAGUGAAGAAGAGUCGGAACUGUUAGACAGCAGAACAGGGAUAACUUUAAAGAAUAAACUGUACUUAUUGGCUAAACCAAAAAUUCUGAAAAUUUUAUGGUAAGAAUAUAUGAGUCUAGUUUCAGGGAAAAUUAUUGUAUCUUAAUGUGGAGUUAUAUAGCUCUAGAUAUAAAUAAUUUAGUGACUAUGACACAGAUGGACAGCUUAAAUAUUCAUAAAAGUAAAUAAUAAAGAUUAUAGAUAAUGUUACUUACAAGUGUGUUAUAUACAUUAAGGAUGUGGAAUGGAGAGGAGGAGGAGGAAAAUAUAUAUGAAUAUCCAGCUAGCAUGGCUAAUUUGCAUGUUUUAGGCUUAAGGACUGAAUUGAAUAAAAGUAAAACUUCAGGGGGUAAUUUUGUAAAAAUGUCAAAAAUGACCAAAUUGAAGGGAAUGGAUUUUUUUAUUAUCUAAAUUAAUAAAUUGAAUGAAAUUUUCAAUUUAAGAUCGGGUGAAAAUUGAGAAAAUGGUAAAUUACCAAAAUGCCCCUUAAUCUUGAUAUUUCUGCAAUUUCGCCAAGUAAGUUCGUGUAACUUGAAUUAUAUUCUUAAAUGCUUGAAAUGUAUGUUUUUUUAUAUGAAUAUGAUUUGAAUGUACAUUAUAUGGAAAUUUAUGAAACAUUGAUAUAUUAAAAAAAAAAGGAAAAAAAAUCCCGGUUGAAUGGAAGGAAAAUUCGAUGGAUAUCUGAAAAGGAAUUGACGAUAAAAAGGAUCUAGCCCGGACGGGUGAUCCUAUCCUGAUAUAGCCCUCCCGAAGAAUAUGUGGAAAAUGGAUUUAGCCCGGACGGGUAAUCCGAAUUAGGGUCUGAAUUUAGCCUGGACUGGUAAUUCAGAUCCAAGCUCAUUAGAGUAAUUGUUGUUGCAGGGGAUUUAGCCUAGAUUGGUAAUCCCGACAAUACUCUAUGAGUUUAUAUUACAGGGGAUUUAGCCUGGACUGGUAAUCCCACUGUAAGGAUGAGGUUCUUAGGAGUGUGCUCUCUGAUAUGGAAUGUGUAAGACCAUGGUUGAAAGAUACCAUGGCAACCUGAUAUGAAAUGUGUAAGACCAUGGUUGAAAGAUACCAUGGCAACCUGAUAUGAAAUGUGUAAGACCAUGGUUGAAAGAUACCAUGGCAACGUGAUAUGAAAUGAAUAAGACUAUGGUUGAAAGAUACCAUGGCAACCUGACAUGAAAUGAGUAAGACCAUGGUUGAAAGAUACCAUGGCAACAUGACGGGAAAAUGAAUAAGACCAUGGUUGAAAGAUACCAUGGCAACAUGACAGAAAACGAGUAAAACCAUAGUUGAAAGAUACUAUGACAUCAUGUCGAAGAUAAAUAAGAUCGAGGAAGAGAAACGCUAAGAUAUCUAUUGAACAAUCGAUAUUCAGGUAAUAUGUAUCAGAUGGAAUGGUUAUAUGAAAUGGUUGUGUGAAAUGUUUACAGGAAUUGGUCAUAUGGAAAUAUAUGUACAAGAUAGUUGUAUGAAAUAAUUAAGAAGAUAGAUAAAUGAAAUAAGUAUAGGUACAUGGAAUUUAAUUUAUGUUAAGUUUAAUACGAACUAUUACCGAAAUAAAUAUAUACAAGAUAUAAGGAAAUGAUGGUGCAUGAAAUAUUGAUAUAACGAAAUGAAUGAUAUAUGCUUAUGAAGAAACAGUAAGAGAAUAAUAUAUUUUGUGACAUGUACAUAUAUAAUUAUUUUUGAUAUGUUGAUACAAGGAAGUUAUGUAAGUUGAGACUAUUAUUAAACUCAAGUGUGAUAUGUUGAGAAAAUAGGUAUAUCAAUGUUGAAUUUAUAUGAAAUAUGUGCAAGUAUACUAACAAUGUUGUUGUUUGACGCUUAGACAAGUGCCAAGCUAUUGAUUGAAUAGUAACAUGUUUAAUUAUAAGGAGCAUUGAAAUGGUAAGUACUUAGAUGAAAAUAUAAUUUAAGAUUUUGCGAAAUUUUUUAUGAUCUCGAUUUUAUUCUAGUUGGUUUCUAAUGUAUGUUUUGGGCUUCGAGGGCCCAAUAGAGAGACGUUAUGAUUAUUUCAAAAUAUGAAUAAUAAAUGACUCAAAAUUAUCUGAAAAUAUUCAGUAAACUCCGAUAAUGCCUCGUAUCCUAUUCCGGCAAUGAAUACGGGUAGGGGGUGUUACACAGUUAGCCUUUACCGACCCUACGGUUGGCCCAUAGUCGGUUAGGAUGACCCGCGUGACCCAACAGAGAAUUUCAGUAUAUUGGGCCCACAUGCCCUUGUGGCCCCACACGCUUAGAUUAGUUUCCCUGUGUGGCCCACACGGGUUGGCCCAAUAAUCCACACGCUCAUGUGAAAUGCCCCAUAUGGGCCCACAUGCCUAACUUGGUCUAGCCCGUGUGGCCCACACGGCCACACUCGAGCCACCACACGGUGGUGUCUUGCGAACGACAUUGUCUUCAUCUACCACACAAUCGUGUCCUCACACACAGCCUACCACAUGGGCAACCAUACGCCCAUGUGGCAUCGACAGUUUUGUUUUUCGACUUUUGCCGAAGUCUCAUUUUCUGCGUUUCGAGCACACACCUGGUAUCAAUUAGAUGCGAAAACACACCCGAGCUUUCCAAAACCUAAGAAUCGACAUACCAACGCUCAGAAUCAAACUUAAUACACGAUUAAUUCAUAAUUACGAAACCAACAACAAACCAAUCAUUUACUCUAACACCCUGAGCGACUACGGUUCCAAUUACCUACGAGGAGAGCCCUUUUCUUCCUAAUUUGCUGCUGUCAAAACAACAAUAAGAUUUUAAACGAAGAUUUGAAACUACAAAUAACGAAUUUAAGAACCACCACUUGAGCAAAUCAUUCAAAACUCAUUUACCGACGUACAAACACCUUAACCCAAAGCUCAGAAGUUAAGAAUCGAAUUUUGCCCCAAACAAAGAAAAAGAAAGAUGGACGAAACAGAAGAAAAAGAAUUGUAGAGAGGAAAAGAAGAAAAAAGUCAAAUAUCUAAAAAGGGAUUUUUAGGAAAAAGAGAGUUAAACUCAAAUCCCACUACACCACAAUCCUAACCACCCAUUACUCAAAAUUCUACCCCAACAAAAACUCUAUCACGAAGCCGAGCAAAAAUAAUUCCUAAGCUCACGUAAGGAUUUGAACACAAGACCUCUAAUAGACUAACUCUUUACCACUCGAACCAGUAGACUCAUUCUAAUAUGAAAUUACAGACAAUUAAAAUUAAGCCCGCUGAACAAGGACAAAGCUUAAUUCUAAAAAUAACAAAAUUUACUAAAGAUAGAGCUUGAACUUAGGACCUCCCACACACAAAGAACAUUUAACCACUGAAACAGAUAUACAUUUGUAUCACAUUUUCACUAAAGAAGAAAUAUAUUAUUCAGGGCGUUACAGAAACACAAAACAGAGCAGCAACACCUUAAUUAAGUCCCCUGCAUCAUUCUCUCAACAUAAACCAAAGGAUUAAGUCUCUGUUAGAAUAAGUUUUAUUUGUUUAUGCUCAUUUAUUUAUUUUGAUAAAUCAACAUAAACAACAACCCAAAUGUUCAUUUACAACCUUAACUUUAAGCAAUUAAACGAUAAGUCGGCUUUGCAAGUAAAUGAUUAGCCCUCGGCAACGUAAGGCCGAACUUCUCGGUCAUGUCGAGUUCAUUCGACAACAUCCCAUCAGGUAACUCCCAGUCAAAGCAAUGGGCUAAUUGAGCUAAAAUAAGACGCAUGCUGAUUAGAGCUAAUUGCAUUCCGGGACAUCCUCUACGACCGGUUCCGAACGGAAUGAGUUCGAAAUCAUGCCCUCGAAGGUCUAUCUUCCUAUCCUUAAAUCUUUCUGGAAAGAACUCUUCGGCAUUGCUCGACCAUAUCUUGGGAUUUCGCCCCAUGGACCAAGUGUUCACCAAAAGUCGCGACUUCUUAGGUAUGAAAUACCCAUUAACGGUGACAUCUUCAAUCGACUCAUGGGGGACUAACAACGGCGCCACGGGAUGCAACCCGAAACUCUCUUUUAUGACCAUAUCCAAAUAGGCAAGUUUCGGUAGGUCCGACUCUUCUACCAUUCUAUUCCUUCCAACAACACUUUCUACCUCUUUCUAGAGAGCAACCAUGACUCGAGGAUGCCUUAGAAGUUCUGAAAAUGUCCACUCAAUGGCCGUGGUUGUAGUGUCGAAGGAAGCUGCCACCAUGUCCACCAUUAUAGCCUUAAUGUUUUCUCUACCAACGAUGUAGGGUUGAUCUUCAUCAUUAGGGUUCAUGGGUGUAUC